rnacentral:sRNA from 1 species
UUCUAGCCCUGAUGGAAGUGGAAAUCCUUCCGCCGACAAGGUCGGCGGAAGAUUGCAACGGACAGCAGGUGGAGUC